CUCUUAUCGAGAGUGGUGGAGGGACUGGCCCGAUGAAACCCGGCAACCAGUAGAUGAAUGAUCAUCUACAUGGUGCCAAUUCCUGCAGAGUAAAUCCUCUGAGUGAUGAGAG
rnacentral:ncRNA from 1 species